AUAUGACGCUGAUGGAGGCCUCUCUGAAAAUACUUAUGGUUGGAAGUCGCUGGGGCAAGAGUUGAGAAUCAAUGAUGUGACUACUGAUAAAACCACUUUUCAGCAUGGAAACCGUGCUUUAGCUACAAAGGACAUGAGGAAAUCACAGGACCGACCGUUGGCUCACUCUGAGGAGUCUCGUCUGGCCAAUCUUCUGCGGAGAGCGUCACGGGAAGAUGACCGGGAACGCAGACUGGCCACUAUGAAACAAAUGAGGGAGUUCAUUGUGCACUCUGAAAAUAAAGUGGUCCUAGUGAAACAGUUGGAUUCCAUUUUG